rnacentral:rRNA from 1 species
AUUGAACGCUGGCGGCAGGCUUAACACAUGCAAGUCGAGCGAGCGGCGGACGGGUGAGUAAUGUCUGGGAAACUGCCUGAUGGAGGGAGAUAACUACUGGAACCGGUAGCUAAUACCGCAUACCGUCCGAUCGGCCCAGAGGGGAUUAGCUAGUAGGUGGGGUAAUGGCUCAUCUAGGCGAAGAUCCCUAGCUGGUCUGAGAGGCUGACCAGCCACACUGGAACUGAGACACGGUCCAGACUCCUACGGGAGGCAGCAGUGGGGAAUAUUGCACAAUGGGCGCAAGCCUGAUGCAGCCACGCCGCGUGUGUGAAGAAGGCCUUCGGGUUGUAAAGCACUGUCAGCGAGGAGGCGUUACUCGCAGAAGAAGCACCGGCUAACUCCGUGCCAGCAGCCGCGGUAAUAC